GGAAUUAGAGAAAUUUAAAAAGAGGAAUUAAUUUCGUUUUGAGAGGUGGAAUUUGGAUAAAUUGAAAUUAUAUUAGGUGUUUUCUUUUACUUGAUUUUUCGAAAAAUUGGUGAGAGACCGGGAUUAGAUACCCCGUUAUUUUUUUUGUAAACUUUAAUUAGUAGUUCAAUUUACCAGAGUAUUACGGGUUAGGCCAGAUAUACUAUUAAGUGAGUUGUGGCUUUGUUAACUUAAAACUCAAAAAACUUGGCGGUGCCUUAUUUCCUUCCAGGGGAACCUGUCCUGUAAUCGAUGGUCCACGAUUUAACUUACUUUUUUUUGUAUGUCUUAGACUUUAACAGCUUGUAUACCGUCGUCGUCAGAUUACCUUUAAGAGAAUAAGAAGUUGUCAGGUAAAGUGAGGUAUUUAGAUAAGUCGUAGUACUGGGUAGUUCUUGUACUAUAGUUUAAAAUACUAACUUUUGAUGUCAGAUCAAGGUGCAGCUUAUAGGAAAGUAGAGAUGGGUUACAUUAUGAAUUUCAUUAUGGAUUUUAAUUUGUAAUAUUUAUUUGAAAUUGGACUUGGGAGUAAUAUAUUUGUAUAUUUUUAUAAAUUAGAAAGUUUAUGUGAACACGGUACUAAGGUGCGU
rnacentral:rRNA from 1 species